GUUCACUGAGUCCACUGGAUUAGCAAAGCAGGACAACGCCUUCUGUACCACCAUCUAUGCCAUCUAGUUAGGAGGCAGAAUCUCAGGACUAAUUGCUUCAUUUCUUCAUUUGGCCUUGAAAAAACAUUUCGUUAUUUGUUGUUGCCUGCUAUGUGGAAGGGACCAAGAAUAUCCUCUAAAACAGAAUCUGUUUUGUUUGGUGCUAUGGACACCCUAGGGAGGAAAAAAUUUUUUUGAAAGAGGAGCUGUCAUUUCCAACUUAUCUUUAUUACUCACCUCAAUGCUCGAGGAUCUCUCCACUCAUUCAUGAAGCGUAAUAAGGAGGACACGAAAGCUGGAGCUGGGGGAUGUCUGGCUAUUUUAUAUAAGAUGGCUGAGGAAGGCAGCACAGGUAUUCAAGCCAAGACCUGAGGGACACGAGCAAGCAAGCCACACAGACGUGUGCAAGAAAGGGGAUUGCAGCAAACGUGAAGAGGAAGCUGCAGCGUGGUUUGUAAAUCGUGAAAGAUCAAGGAAGCUGUGAGGACACAAUGAGAAGAUGGCCAUCUGCAAGCCAGGAAGAGAGCCCUCCCUGAGGAACUGAAUGGGCCAGCACCUUGGGCUUGGACUUCCAGUCUCCUGAACUAUAAUGGUUAUGGUGGUUCUAAAACAUGACUUCAAAUUCUUUGGGACUCCUCCCAUCAAAAGUGGGGUGCUUGUGAAGAUAUUUCCAAGGACGUAGUUCCCUGGAAGGAAGAAGUUCUGCGCUCCAGUGGGACCUCAUCAGAUACCCCUCCAUCUCUCCAUCUCCGGCUCUCCAGGAUAUUCUUCACAGCCUCCUCCUGCUGUUGUCCCUCUGUCUCUCUACAUCUUGGGAUAAUGGAAAGAUGGCUUCAGAUCAGGCCUCCAUUGUGCAACUGGCCCAUCCAGAAACUCAAGAAACUUCCCUGUGCCCAAAGUGGAGGUGGGCCUGCUCUACACCCUGUGUCAUCUCUCACCAGUUACUUUAGCCUGCUCAAAAUGUCCAAUGAGCAGAACAGCAAAAGCACAGAGCAGUCAGGCACAGAAAGGGAGUCCCUCUUUCUCCCAGGUAACCAGUCUUGCGAGCCCUUCUCACCUGGCUAGGAGGAAGGAAGAACAUCCCCUUCCCAUGUCCUACAGGAAGGAGUACCUUUCCACCUGGAAAUUCAAUCCCAAAGUCUCCAAUUCCACUAACUCCUUUUAUAUCAGCUGACAGUAGGCAAAUGAUCAUGAGAUGAUUGGAGGAGCAAAACUGGUGCUCUUCCCUCUGAGAUGUCUCUGGUAGCUCUUUAGUUUCUGUGUAGUAUUUACUUCUUACUGUCUAUCAUUCAAAAACAAUGGAAAAAGUUCUGUGUAACAUUCUGCUAAUUGCAUAUGCCUCAGUUACUCUCUGUACUGGUCUAGUUAUCUGCCUCUUUUUCCAGACUGUGACCUCUUGAAGGCAGGCAUUGUGUCUUACCAUCUAACAUCUAGCAUAUCAAUAAGUAUUUCCGUGAACAGACACAAUUUAAGACAGGGAUUUCAUUUACCUUGAAAUCUUUACUGCCAGCUUUCAUUUUAUCAGAGUUUUUGUGAUACAGGUUCUAAGAAGAACUAAUUACAUAGGUAUUUCUGAACUUGUUGAAAAGCUGAAUCGGGAGAAGUGUGUCCUUACAAAAAUCAAAGGCUGGCUGGGUGGCAAUGAUAGAAUCAGAGAGGGUAGCCUCAUCUGGCCUCUUCCAAAAUAGGGUGCCAGGUGGCUGGAAGAAAAGAGGGUCUGCCUCCCUGAGCCUGUAGGAAAGAGAUCAUUUCCUAAUGGGUAGGUCUCCUUUGGUCACUGUGAAACGGGCUCAGUCAACCUCAGAGUGAGCAGAGAUGAAUCUACUUGCCUGUGGGACUUGGGUGUAAGUGGUCCUGCAGCGAGUACAUAUGUCAUCCACAUGGCUUGGAACAGCCAGAAGUAGAUUAGGAAAGUACAAAGCAGCUGGGGUCCUUGUACAGGCAGGCUCAAAAAGGGCUCAGGCGCUCAGCCCUCAUGAAAGUGCCAACUGGUACGUAUUUCUAGAGAAGAAUUUGACAACUGUUACCAAGAACGUAAAAACAUACACUUUAGAUCCAGCAAUACCACUUCUAGGAAUCGUUUCCAAAAAAGAUCAUCAGGAGUGGAACCCACAUGUGCUCAAAGGAUGCUUAUCUAAGUGUAUUAAUUAAAUUACUAUAUUAAUUAGUACAAGGGGAUAUUAUGUAGUUGGAAGUCACACUGUAGCUAAUAAAACAUGGGAAUGUUCAUGAUACAUUAAGUGAAAAAAGCCAGCACAAAAUGGCACUGUGGUGUGAUCUGCUUGUAGGGAUAGGCAGAAGAAGAUAGCAAAAAUAUUACCAGUGGUUGUCUCUACAGACCAGAGAGAUUAUGGGUGGUUUUA
ensembl:lncRNA